ACGAACGCUGGCGGCGUGCUUAACACAUGCCAGUCGAACGGAAAGGCCCUGCUUUUGUGGGGUGCUCGAGUGGCGAACGGGUGAGUAACACGUGAGUAACCUGCCCUUGACUUUGGGAUAACUUCAGGAAACUGGGGCUAAUACCGGAUAGGAGCUCCUGCUGCCUGGUGGGGGUUGGAAAGUUUCGGCGGUUGGGGAUGGACUCGCGGCUUAUCAGCUUGUUGGUGGGGUAGUGGCUUACCAAGGCUUUGACGGGUAGCCGGCCUGAGGGGGUGACCGGCCACAUUGGGACUGAGAUACGGCCCAGACUCCUACGGGAGGCAGCAGUGGGGAAUAUUGCACAAUGGGCGGAAGCCUGAUGCAGCAACGCCGCGUGCGGGAUGACGGCCUUCGGGUUGUAAACCGCUUUCGCCUGUGACGAAGCGUGAGUGACGGUAAUGGGUAAAGAAGCACCGGCUAACUACGUG
rnacentral:rRNA from 1 species